UACGGAGGGUGCGAGCGUUAAUCGGAAUUACUGGGCGUAAAGGGUGCGUAGGCGGUUUAUUAAGUUGUAUGUGAAAUGCCAGGGCUUAACCUUGGGCUGUCGUACGAUACUGAUAGACUUGAGUACAGGAGAGGGCAGUGGAAUUUCCGGUGUAGCGGUGAAAUGCGUAGAGAUCGGAAGGAACAUCGGUGGCGAAGGCGUCUGCCUGGCCUGAUACUGACGCUGAGGCACGAAAGCGUGGGUAGCGAACAGG
rnacentral:misc_RNA from 1 species